rnacentral:rRNA from 1 species
UUUGAUCCUGGCUCAGGACGAACGCUGGCGGCGUGCCUAAUACAUGCAAGUCGAGCGGACAAUUGAGAGCUUGCUCUCAAUUGUUAGCGGCGGACGGGUGAGUAACACGUGGGCAACCUGCCCUGUAGACUGGGAUAACUUCGGGAAACCGAAGCUAAUACCGGAUAAUCUUUAGCAUCACAUGGUGCAAAAGUAAAAGUUGGGUUUUACCUAACACUACAGGAUGGGCCCGCGGCGCAUUAGCUAGUUGGUAAGGUAACGGCUUACCAAGGCGACGAUGCGUAGCCGACCUGAGAGGGUGAUCGGCCACACUGGGACUGAGACACGGCCCAGACUCCUACGGGAGGCAGCAGUAGGGAAUCUUCCGCAAUGGACGAAAGUCUGACGGAGCAACGCCGCGUGAACGAUGAAGGCCUUCGGGUCGUAAAGUUCUGUUGUUAGGGAAGAACAAGUACCGUUCGAAUAGGGCGGUACCUUGACGGUACCUAACCAGAAAGCCACGGCUAACUACGUGCCAGCAGCCGCGGUAAUACGUAGGUGGCAAGCGUUGUCCGGAAUUAUUGGGCGUAAAGCGCGCGCAGGCGGUCUCUUAAGUCUGAUGUGAAAGCCCACGGCUCAACCGUGGAGGGUCAUUGGGGAACUGGGAGAUUUGAGUGCAGAAGAGGAGAGUGGAAUUCCAUGUGUAGCGGUGAAAUGCGUAGAUAUAUGGAGGAACACCAGUGGCGAAGGCGACUCUCUGGUCUGUAACUGACGCUGAGGCGCGAAAGCGUGGGGAGCAAACAGGAUUAGAUACCCUGAUAGUCCACGCCGUAAACGAUGAGUGCUAGUGUUAGGGGUUUCGAUGCCCUUUAGUGCCGAAGUUAAACACAUUUAAGCACUCCGCCUGGGGGAGUACG